rnacentral:rRNA from 1 species
CCUACGGGAGGCUGCAGUGAGGAAUAUUGGUCAAUGGGCGAGAGCCUGAACCAGCCAAGUCGCGUGAAGGAUGACGGCCCUACGGGUUGUAAACUUCUUUUGUCAGGGAGCAAUUGAGUCCACGUGUGGUCUUAGCGAGAGUACCUGAAGAAAAAGCAUCGGCUAACUCCGUGCCAGCAGCCGCGGUAAUACGGAGGAUGCGAGCGUUAUCCGGAUUUAUUGGGUGUAAAGGGAGCGCAGGCGGCACGGCAAGCCUGAUGUGAAAGCCCGCGGCCCAACCGCGGGACUGCAUUGGGAACUACCGGGCUGGAGUGCCGGAGAGGUAGGCGGAAUUCCUAGUGUAGCGGUGAAAUGCGUAGAUAUUAGGAGGAACACCAGUGGCGAAGGCGGCCUACUGGACGGUGACUGACGCUGAGGCUCGAAAGCGUGGGGAGCAAACAGGAUUAGAUACCCCUGUAGUC